CCUACGUGAGGCAGCAGUGGGGAAUAUUGCGCAAUGGGCGAAAGCCUGACGCAGCGACGCCGCGUGAGGGAUGAAGGUCUUCGGAUCGUAAACCUCUGUCAGCAGGGAAGAACGGUCACUGUGCUAAUCAGCAGUGAAUUGACGGUACCUGCAAAGGAAGCACCGGCUAACUCCGUGCCAGCAGCCGCGGUAAUACGGAGGGUGCGAGCGUUAAUCGGAAUUACUGGGCGUAAAGCGCUCGUAGGCGGUAUGUCAAGUCAAGGGUGAAAUCCCCGCGCUCAACGUGGGAACUGCCUUUGAAACUGGAAAACUGGAGUGUGUGAGAGGAUAGUGGAAUUCCAGGUGUAGGAGUGAAAUCCGUAGAGAUCUGGAGGAACAUCAGUGGCGAAGGCGACUAUCUGGCACAUAACUGACGCUGAGGAGCGAAAGCGUGGGUAGCAAACAGGAUUAGAUACCCCGGUAGUC
rnacentral:rRNA from 1 species